rnacentral:rRNA from 1 species
CUACGGGUGGCUCCAGUGGGGAAUAUUGGGCAAUGGGUGCAAGCCUGACCCAGCAACGCCGCGUGAGGGAAGAAGGUUUUCGGAUCGUAAACCUCUGUCCUUGGGGACGAAGAAGUGACGGUACCCAAGGAGGAAGCUCCGGCUAACUACGUGCCAGCAGCCGCGGUAAUACGUAGGGAGCAAGCGUUGUCCGGAAUUACUGGGCGUAAAGGGUGCGUAGGCGGCAUAUUAAGUCAGGUGUGAAAUACUCGGGCUCAACCCGGGGGCUGCAUUUGAAACUGAUAUGCUUGAGUGUGAGAGAGGAAAGUGGAAUUCCUAGUGUAGCGGUGGAAUGCGUAGAUAUUAGGAGGAACACCAGUGGCGAAGGCGACUUUCUGGCUCAUAACUGACGCUGAGGCACGAAAGCGUGGGGAGCAAACAGGAUUAGAUACCCCUGUAGUC